rnacentral:tRNA from 61 species
GGUUUGGUAGUUCAGUUGGUUAGAAUGCCUGCCUGUCACGCAGGAGGUCGCGGGUUCGAGUCCCGUCCAGACCGCCA